AUUGAACGCUGGCGGCAGGCCUAACACAUGCAAGUCGAGCGGAGCGGCGGACGGGUGCGUAAUGCCUAGGAAUCUGAAUGGUAGUGGGGGAUAACGUCCGCAAACGGGCGCUAAUACCGCAUACUAUCAGAUGAGCUUAGGGGGGAAUAGCUAGUUGGUGGGGUAAAGGCCUACGAAGGCGACGAUCCGUAACGGGUCUGAGAGGAUGAGCAGUCACACGGGAACUGAGGCAGGGUCCAGACUCCUAGGGGGGGCAGCAGGGGGGAAUAUUGGACAAGGGGCGAAAGCCGGAUCCAGCCAUGCCGAGUGUGUGAAGAAGGUCUUCGGAUUGGAAAGCACUUUAAGUUGGGAGGCGUUACCAACAGAAGAAGCACCGGCUAACUUCGUGCCAGCAGCCGCGGUAAUUC
rnacentral:rRNA from 1 species